rnacentral:SRP_RNA from 1 species
GCCAGGUGUGGUGGCAUGUGCCUGUGGUCCCAGCUACUCGGGAGGCUGAGGCUAGAGGAUCGCUUGAGCCCCGGAGUUCUGGGCUGUAAUGCACUAUGCCGAUCAGGUGUCCACACUAAGUUCAGCAUCAACAUGGUGACCUUCUGGGAGCGGAGGACAACCAGGUUGCCUAAAGGGGGUAUGGCGGGAGGUGAACCAGCCCAGGUCAGAAAAGGAACAGGUAAAAACUCCUGUGCUGAUCAGUAGUGGGAUCACGCCUGUGAAUAGCCACUGCACUCCAGCCUGGGCAACACAGCGAGACUCCAUCUCU